rnacentral:rRNA from 2 species
GUUGUAUAGUUAAGUGACUAAGCGUACAAGGUGGAUGCCUUGGCAAUCAGAGGCGAAGAAGGACGUGCUAAUCUGCGAAAAGCU